UCAAGACCAUCCUGACCAAGAUAAACAAACCCCAUCUCAAACAAAAAUACAAAAUUAGCCUGCUGUAAUGGUGCACGUCUGUAAUCCCAGCUACUCAGGAGGCUGAGGCAGGAGAGUCGCUUGAACCCAGGAAGCGGAGGUGACAAUGAGCUGAGAUCCUGCCACUGCACUCCCGCUUGGGCAACACAGCAAGACUCUGUCUCAAAAAAAAAGAAAGCAAAAAGACAACCCACAGAAAGGAAGAAAAUAUUUGCUAGCACAUUAUAUAUCUAACAACUGUCCAUUAACUACAAUACAUACAGAAUAUGUAUAACUCAACAACAAAAGCAACCAAAUUACAAAUGGCGGAAGAGUUGAACUCACACCUUGCCAAAAAGACAUGCAAAUAGAAAACGAGGAAAUGAAAAGACGAUCAAUAUCAUUAUCAUUAUGGCCAUCAAAACUGAAACCACAACCACACACUUUGCCAAAAAACAUGCAAAUGGAAAACAAGCACAUGAGAAGGUGAUCAGUAUCAUUAUCAUUAUGGCCAUCAAAACUGAAACCACAUCCACAUACUCCUUCAUACACACUAGAAAGGCUAUAAUCCAACAAAUGUAAAAUAACAAGUGAUGGCAAGGUCAGAGGGAAAUCACAACCCUUAAAUACUGUAUAUGGAAUAUAAACAGUACAGACUAUUUGUAACAUAGUUUGGUAUUUCCUCAAAAAGUUAAAAAUAAGCCGGGCAUGGUGGCUCAUGCCUGUAAUCCUAGCACUUUGGGAGGCAGAGGCAGGUGGAUCCCUUGAAUUCGGGAGCUCAAGACCACCAAGAACAACAUAGAAAAACCCCAUCUCUACUAAAAAUACAAAAAGUAGCCAAGCAUGGUGUCACACACCUGUAGUCCCAGCUACUAGGGAAGCUGAGGCAGGAGGACUGCUUGAGCCCAGAAUGUGGAGGCUGCAGUAAGCUGAGGUCGCACCACUGCACUCCAGCCUGGGCAACAGCGCAAGACCCUGUCUCAAAGCAAACAAACAAAAAAGACCUGCCAUGGUGGCU
rnacentral:lncRNA from 10 species